rnacentral:lncRNA from 1 species
ACUAGGUAAGAGAUGGAAGAGGGACGUCAGAGAAGUGCCUCUAGACCACUACCAAGGGAUUUGUCUCACGGAACCCUCCAACACAGAGUGUCCCACACCUGACCCCUGAGCUAGUCCUGCCCUCCCGGGUCUGUUCAUCAUCGCCUUUGCUGGAGCAUCCUUGUAAGCCGGAGCUGCCCAGCGGUUGGGAGAAGCGCGGGGCUCCGGAGGCAGAAGGCUGCCGGCUCUCCGGGUGUCCAGGCGCUCCUCCCGCUCGCCAGCCCCGGCUCCCUUGGCGCCUAGCCCUCGCCCCGGCGCCCAGCAGCCUCACAAACUUACUUGCGGGUCGGCGGGAGGGGGCUGCGGUGAGCGGUGCGAGCCCCGCAGCGGCGAGUGCGCCCCUCUCGGUGGGGCCGGGCGGCGCUGGCACUGCGCUCCCGCGGCCG